AUGUCAGAUCCUUCUCUAGGACUGGGUGACAAAGGAAAUGAUGUACAAGCUGAGGUCAAUGACAAUGAGAAAACAAAGAGAGGGAUAAGGAAAAAGUCACUAGUUGGUGUUGGUAAUAAGGUUAAGGUGAGGAAAACUAGAGUUAAGCGUGCACCAUGUUGGCAGCAUUUCAAGGAGGUCAAAGUUGUAUGCAAGAAGAAACCGGGGGCGGUCGUCACGAAGGCAAAAUGAUUGCAUUGUUGUAACUUGUUUGCUUAUACUCCAGGGGGACCAACUACUAGUCUCAAUCAGCAUGUAAAUGUUUGUGAGGACUAUCUAAAUAAGAAGGGAAGACAACAACGACAAGGUACAAUCAAUUUGGAUCCUGAAAAGCCAGGUGCAUCUCUUAUAGUGAAUCAUGAAUAUGAUCAUGCACAAGUCGUUCAAAUCAUAGCAAAGAUGAUAAUUGUGCAUGAAUAUCCUUUUAGGAUGGUAGAGCAUGCUUGGUUUAAUAUCCUCAUGAGAUAUAUGAAUGCAUCAUACAAGUUCAUUGGUAGGAAGAAAAUUAGAGCCGAAUGCAUGAAGGUGUAUCUUUUUGAGAAAGAAAUCCUUAAGAAGCAACUAAGGUUUGUUGAGAGCAUUAGUUUGACAAGUGAUAUAUGGACUUCCAACCAGAAUCUUUCCUACCUAGCUGUUGUUGCUCACUACAUAGAUGAGGAUUGGGUUAUGCAAUGUCGUGUUUUAAACUUGAUAGAGUUAGACCCACCUCACACAGGCUUUGUCAUAGCUCAAGCUGUUUUUGAAUGCUGCCAAGAAUGGAAAAUAGAAGAUAAGAUCAUGACAAUGACCAUGGAUAAUGCUACCUCGAAUGAUUAUGCUGCUAAGAAAUUGAUGGACAAG
rnacentral:rRNA from 1 species